GCCAGCGUGGCGCAGCGGUUCGAGCGCUGGACUACGAAUCAGGAGACCGGAGUUUGAUUCCCAGUUCCGGAG